rnacentral:lncRNA from 1 species
UAAAAGAACAGACAAGCUGAAGAAAGCCAGUAGGCAAAGUCUGGGACUGUCUGUUACUGUUGUUAUCUCUAAGCAACCAAAAGCAUCACUUGUAUAGUUCUGUUUGGAAAAAAAUAUGUUCUCUUACACAUGGACUGGUGUCAUUCACAGCACUGUAAAUAAGAGCUAUAUGCAUGAAUGGGUAGGAGUCUCUCUCCACAUCGCUAAAUGAAAAUCCACUGCAGGAAAAUGCUAAAUAAAAUCUAAUGUCAUGUACUUCUACUUUCAGUGCCUGCUUCCAUUGUACACAGUAUAGAAAAAGCAUGUGACAGAGCUAAGUAACAUGCUUUGCUUUCAUCCUAUUUUAAAUUUGAUUACUCCAGCUUUUAUAUUGCUGACGCAUAGCAGGCACCUGAUUUAUAAUAUGAUAUUAAAAGGGAAAUUACUCCUACAAGUAGUCUUAAGUAGCACUUACUUCUAGCCUCUGCUUCUUCCAGACAGGAGCCUCCUGACAGACCUCGGAUUACAAGAUGGAUUUGCCUAAAAUAACCUCUGAUUUAAUAAAUCAGCAAGAAGAAUAAUCAGCAGCAAAAUUAGGACAUUAGGACACUGUACUUUGGACCAGGCUGUCCAAUACCUGGCUAGAUUCACUGCUGCCAAUGGGUACAUGAGGUUCCUUUGUCUAAGGAUCUGGUCGAAUAUUUCUUGAUAUUAAUCUGUGCAAUUUUUGGCAAGGGGAGAGCACAGGAACAGACUGCAGCUUUAUUCUCGUUACUCAAAGGCAGGGCUGUACAAGAAUCCUCCCAGCUCUUAGUAGAAGACAGAUUUGCUUUCCUUGGUGCCCAAAGGGCACAGAAGAGUUGCAUUAUUCAGUGUUCAGAAUGUUCCCAAAAAACCCUAAAAUGCCCACUAGUGUUCAGCCAGGCUGUAAGGCUGUUUGUAUCCAAGCUCUCAUAAAGUAUCCUCUGGAGACCACUUUUGCCUUCUUUAGAGCCCUUUUAUACCUUAAGGAUGGCAAAGACAAGCACUAUUAUGACAGAUUAUCUGUUCUUUGUCAGUCUAGGCUGAGGUCCUUUGGAAGUGACCCGAACAGAAGAGCACUGGGCCACUGUGUUUUCUGGAGUCUGGAUGACCGUCACGCUGAAAGUGAAGAAGGCUUUUGCUAGGUUCUCAAGUUGAAUGUUUGAAUUGCAUCUGUCUGGAAAACAUCAACAGCUUUUGAAAAUCAAGAAAAGUUGGGAAAAAUCAUGAACACAGAGAACUGAUGAAAGGUUUUAAAUAAUAAUUAUUUUAUGUAUAACAUCAUACCUGAAUUCAUUUGCUUGCAGGGAAGUCAAACGAAGGAGUAAUAAAUGACAACAAAUCCAUACCUAUAAAAUGAAC